CCCCCCAGUGGGACCAAACCCAUACCGAACCGUGACUUCAACACUGAGCUGCGGCUGUGGUUGUGUUCCCUGUGCUCUCCUGCAUGUGAUAUGAGCUUUCAUCUCCAAAAACACCAGCACUCAGGAGAUACUGAGAGGGAUUUGUCAUUGACUAAAGAGAACUCAUGUCACUUUUUGUACAUAAUUUGUAUUUGUAUUAUGCUAUGUAUUUUUAGAUUUUGUAGACAUUUUACUCAAGAUUAAACCUUUAAGAUGUCCUAUUUACUUACAUUUUGACUUUAGGCCUGUUAGUUUUCAGAAUGGGUCAAGGAUGAUGUCAUAAUAUCUGUUUUCCGGCUAUUGUCAGCUGGAUCUCUUUGUUUUCCAGUCCUUUUGGAUCACUUUACCAAAAACUUGUGAGAGGCUCAUUAGAAAACCGUGCUUCUACCUACAAUUGUGCAAUACUCCAAAAAAGCACCUAUACAUACAGUUCCGGCUACAAUGAACACUAGUGGCAGUAAAACACCAAUAUAAUGUAGACUAUAUAAUAAAGACUUAUUUUCACGUUGUAACUUGCACAAUACUGUUACUGACCGCAAAACACUUUUUCCAUAGUGCAUUUUGACAUUUGCAUCACAUAACCAGUUCUGUACGUAUGGCUUUUCUGAUGUAACUUGGGUAGCACUUUAUUUUACAACCUACCCCUAAACCUAAUAUUAACCAACCUUAUAUUAUUCGGAACUUUCUUGUAAGUACACUGUAAGUUAAUUGAAAGUGCACAUACUGUAAAAUAAAGUGCAACCUAAACUUGCUUGGUAGCUCAUCUGGUACAGCAUUGUAUUUGCAAUGCAAUGUGCUCAGGUAUAAGUCCUGUGAACCCAGAGUUACGAUAAAAGAUGGCAAAGCUUCAGAUUGCUUCAGCAAAUGUGUUUUUAGAUAAAUUUUGCUUUUGCUAACACUCACCGGGCAUUUCAUUUCCAAACUGCCACAAUACGUACAACAAUAUCAUUGCCAGAUUCUGUUUGGGUAAAACUUUUUGUGGCACUCACUGGAAAUUGCACUUUGAAAGUGUCAUGAAACAUGAAAAAAUGUUGCCACAGGCAUGUUUUUCCAAUGAGCCAGGAGUGGUAUCUGUCUGUCUAUGAUCUAUCUAUUUGGUGUGUGUGUGUGUGUGUGUGUGUGUGUGUGUGUGUCCCUGAAUGAGGCAAUAAUUUCAACAUCUGUUGUUCCAUUUCUCCAGCCAAAGCUAUUCAUCACAAUGGGAGUGAAUGGAAUUCCUAAAACCUUUAAAAUCUAACAAACAAAUAAAGCUUAAGAACAGAUGAUUUGCACCCUUCCAUUUUCUUUCGUUUCACUUCAGUGAGCCUCUUCCUCACGCAGCUGCAGCCAAUGAUAGGAACAACUAAAAGUAUUAUGAGAUGAAUAAUAGCUUACUAUAAAUUUCCAUAUCUCAUAUAAAUAUUUAUUAUGUCAGCAGGGAUGAUGCCUAGAUUAACUCCAUCUGAAUAGAAUGGUUUAAGCAAGGCUGGCCAUACACAAUGAGUGUAAUGCAGAACAGGUCCGCAGAGGCCAGACAUUAUCAAUGGGGAGAUUGGAAAGAAAUGCCUCUGCAGUUUUUCUCCAUCUGCUGUUAGUCUCUCACACACAAACACAUACAGUGCGACCAGGCUAGUGACUCACUCUCUAGCUGAUGGUGUUUUGGUAUUCGUGUGGCAUGUAGCCAGUAGGAAUACUGCAGUGUACACACACACACACACACGCACGCACACAUACAGUGUGUACUCAUACAAAUUGACCUGGUAGCUUCAUGUGUGUUUGCUUAGAAUAGACUGAUCUGUAUCUUAUGAUCACCAGGACUGCAUUUAUUUGAUCAAAAAUAUUAUUGAAAUAUUAUUACAAUUAAAAAAAAACUAGCAGCCAUUACUCCAGUCUUCAGUGUCACAUAAUCCUUCAGAAAUCAUUCUAAUAUGCUGAUUUGCCGCUCAGGUGAAAUUUACAGUAUUUUACAAUCGCUAAGACACAUUUCUCAAUACUUAGGUUAGUUUUUCAAAUCUCUUCAGCAGUUAAUAUCAUAUUCAAAAUGCACUAAAACUACCAGAACACUUCAUACAUGUCUCAAAUCAGCUCAUUCUUCCAUAACACUAGCAAAGGUUUUCACCCAACCAACACACUUUCUGUCAGGACCACUAUAUCGUCAAACAUGAUUGACAGUCAGCAAAGAGUUUGGAUUGGUGGUAUGGUUCUGUUCUGGACAAGAACUCCCUGCCCAUCCAUGCAGCCUAGCAUAGAUAAGAGCAAGGAGAGCAGCGAUAACCCCCCUUUGGGUAAACAGAACAGAACCAACAUAAGGUAUGCAGAUAUCGUUAAUGUUCUUAAUGACAGUAAUUUAAUGUAACAAUAUAAUUCAAGAAAUGAGUCUGAUCCUAACAGGAAGAGAGGAGAAGCUGGGGAUAGAGGAGGGUAAUUAGCUCCUGAGCAAUGCAAUAAAGCUGCUGAAAAUACUGAAUGGACCAUAUAUAUAGGAAUGCGGUGAUAGGCAUCAGCUGACUCUCAGCUGAUCCACGUCUACCUGUAGGAAAUAUAGGAAAUAGAGAGUCAGCUGAUGCGAGAUUGACUAAUGAGUCCUGCCAGAAAUAAUGCUAUGCUUGAUUUGUCAAUCAUAAAACACAGACUUAAAAACACUAACAUCAGGUAGCAUUUUCUUUUGUAAAAUUUCUUUACAAAACCAGAAUGAUACUCUCUAUAUUUUUAGCAUUCAUUGCACUAUAUGUUACAUGACUCAUGUUUACGUUACAGUACAAAAUUAUUCCUAAGUUUUCCCCUUUUGAAUGGAUGGUAAUGAAGACUAACCCCUGUGUAGGUUUACAGUGACUUCUAAUUGCUUUGAUAGUAUUUGAUUUCUUUUUUUUUUUUGUAGAUUCAGAAUAUAUUUCAAUAUGGUAUUACUGUAGAAAUCAGCCCAGUCUCAUUAGAAAAACGUACCUGUAGGAACAUUUUUGCAAAAUGAAAAUAUAAGUGUAACAAAAGCAAAUGUGACAUAAAAAGCAUUUGUAAUGGUGCUGUUUUAGCUUGUUUUGAUCUGUCAUCUUUGAGCUCUUUUACCGUGACUCAUCUUUCACGGGAUUCGUACGCAAGCCUUCCGCAUACGUGCAACUCCGUAUCAGCUGAGCUACUGAGCAAACUUGUUGUUGUGUCAGAAAAGCGGAAUAUGUGGAGCUGGUUAAGCGAUGCAAAGUCCAAAAUAGAUUUGUUUACAAAUCGUGCACUUUGAUGAAAAGCUUUUUGAAGUCAUAACAUAAUAUUGUGCAAUGAGAUGUGAAAAAGUCUUUAUUAAUCCAUAAUCUGACCCUGUAAUCAUAACUGUGUAUGAAAAGUGCUUGCUGUUUUACUGCCUCUAGUGUUCAUUUCUGUUAGAAACUGCAAUGAUAUGUACGUAUUGGUACUUAUUUUAUGACUUGCAAAAAUGUUCCCACAAGUAUGUCUUUCCAUGAGACCAGGUUGGUAGAAAUGUUGUCUUAUUCAUUUUGUUGUAGGUUUUGAACUUAAAUUUAAUAGUUUUGAAAAAAGUAUGUAAACAUGCAAAUUGGCCUGUAUAAAGAUUUGGUGGUGUUUGUGUCUAUAAGCCCGAAAAGAAUUGAUUGAAAGAUGUCGUCAUUGAAUGCAUUUUGUGCCAAAGCCAUAAUAAAUGAUUCACAGUUUAGCCCACAUA